UACGGAGGAUCCAAGCGUUAUCCGGAAUCAUUGGGUUUAAAGGGUCCGUAGGCGGUUUAAUAAGUCAGUGGUGAAAGCCCAUCGCUCAACGGUGGAAACGGCCAUUGAUACUGUUAGACUUGAAUUAUUAGGAAGUAACUAGAAAUAUGUAGUGUAGCGGUGAAAAUGCUUUAGAGAUUACAAUGGAAUACCAAUUGCGAAGGCAGGUUACCUACUAAAUGGAUUGACGCU
rnacentral:rRNA from 1 species